AGAGGUGAGAAUAGAAGUGCGUUG
rnacentral:siRNA from 1 species